GUCACUUUUCUACAACAUCUUGUAUUUUAAAUAUUCUAUGUUUUUGGCUGAGCAAAAUUUCCAAAAAUUCAAGGCAAUAAAUUAUAAAUUCUGAGGAGGACAAGGGGGGAGAGGAGAGCAAGCCAAUCUGCCCUAGCUGUCUAAAACACAAAUGGUCAGAUUCCAUUUAUCUCUACAUUAUUUUAUGUAAUCAAAUUGAGGGUGAUUCCAGACAGCCAGAUCAAUGUAGCUUUUCGAGCUGUCUCUGUGGAUCUCUCUGUCUCUUUGGUCAACCUUGAGCAGUUACCACACUGUGAUGUCCCAUGAAUUACGCUGGAAUUACUUGCUAUCACCGUUGUCCUUAGUUUCAGGCUUGAAAAAAAUGUAAUAGCAGUGGUACUAGUACCAUGAGAAUAAUCAAUAUUGCUCACCACAAUAACAAACAAUAUUAUCUAUUGUUAUCAGGAUCCGAGUCCUCAAGUACUUAGCAUACAGUAAGCACAGGAAAAACACCACCGCACAUGUUAAAUCUAAGUUUUUGAUAUAUAUCUCCUCUUUUUUUUA